UAGGAGUGGCUGCAUAUGGCAUC
rnacentral:miRNA from 1 species